rnacentral:rRNA from 1 species
ACGAUUAAGCACCUUCGGGUGUGUAUAGAGUGGCGAACGGGUGAGUAACACGUGACAACCUGCCUCUUACAUUGGGACAACCAAAAGAAAUUCUGGCUAAUACCAAAUACUCCGCACAUAUCACAUGAUGUAUGCGGGAAAGCUUUUGCGGUAAGAGAUGGGGUCGCGGCCCAUUAGGUAGACGGCGGGGUAGAAGCCCACCGUGCUGAUGAUGGGUAGCCGGGUUGAGAGACCGACCGGCCACAUUGGGACUGAGAUACGGCCCAGACUCCUACGGGAGGCAGCAGUGGGGAAUAUUGCGCAAUGGGGGAAACCCUGACGCAGCAACGCCGCGUGCGGGAUGAAGGCCUUCGGGUUGUAAACCGCUUUCAGCAGGGAAGACAUCGACGGUACCUGCAGAAGAAGCCCCGGCUAACUACGUGCCAGCAGCCGCGGUAAUACGUAGGGGGCGAGCGUUAUCCGGAUUCAUUGGGCGUAAAGCGCGCGCAGGCGGUUGCUCAAGCGGAACCUCUAAUCUCGGGGCUUAACCUCGAGCCGGGUUCCGAACUGGACGACUCGAGUGCGGUAGAGGCAGAUGGAAUUCCCGGUGUAGCGGUGGAAUGCGCAGAUAUCGGGAAGAACACCAACGGCGAAGGCAGUCUGCUGGGCCGUCACUGACGCUGAGGCGCGAAAGCUGGGGGAGCGAACAGGAUUAGAUACCCUGGUAGUCCCAGCCGUAAACGAUGAGCGCUGGGUGUGGGAGAUUACAUCUUCCGUGCCGAAGCUAACGCAUUAAGCGCUCCGCCUGGGGAGUACGGCCGCAAGGCUAAAACUCAAAG